CUGCUUUCACUCAAACCUUCGCGUGAACGACUCGGACCAACCCGGAACUUUAAAGUGACCUAAUCUCUGCUGGAAACUCGAAACAAGGACUUUUCCCUGCUGCUGCUCCGAACUCCUCCGAUGAGUCCGGGAGGAAAACUCACGUUUCACUCCUGAGCUUCUUCCUCCUGGAGGCGGAAUCCAGGUUCCCAUGCUCGAGGCUCCGGCCGCGGCGGCUCCUGCAGGACAGUAGCCUCGACUCGUCUCUUCUCUCCAGUUUACAUAGUGGUGGAAUCACAAGGUGCCAAGAUGCCACAGCAGAAGGACAUAGUGAAGAUCGCCAUCCAGAUGCCUGGGGCCUAUCCCCAGCUCAUACAACUGGAUCAG